rnacentral:rRNA from 1 species
CCUGGCUCAGAUUGAACGCUGGCGGCAUGCCUAACACAUGCAAGUCGAACGGCAGCACGGCAGUAGCAAUACUGUGGGUGGCGAGUGGCGGACGGGUGAGGAAUACGUCGGAAUCUGCCCAGUCUGGGGGAUAACUAGCCGAAAGGUUAGCUAAUACCGCAUACGACCUACGGGUGAAAGCAGGGGGAUCGCAAGACCUUGCGCUAUCGGAGCGGCCGAUAUCAGAUUAGCUUGUUGGUGGGGUAAAAGCCUACCAAGGCGACGAUCUGUAGCUGGUCUGAGAGGACGACCAGCCACACUGGGACUGAGACACGGCCCAGACUCCUACGGGAGGCAGCAGUGGGGAAUUUUGGACAAUGGGCGCAAGCCUGAUCCAGCCAUGCCGCGUGCGGGAAGAAGGCCUUCGGGUUGUAAACCGCUUUUGUCAGGGAAGAAACGGCUCGGGCUAAUACCUCGGGCUAAUGACGGUACCUGAAGAAUAAGCACCGGCUAACUACGUG